AGGUACUGGACAUUAUGGACAAGUUGUUCGUUACAAUGUUCGACUCAUUGAAUGCGAGUUGCAAGAAAGAACUUGAAGCUAUUGGAAGACAAUACCCCUUUGAACCUUUAAAGUACUUGAGAAAGACCUUGUGGCUUACUUUUCAAGAAGAUGUUCAAAUGCUCAAGCUCAUAGCAUCUGAAUAUAUUUUACUCGUAUUCUUGCAAUGCAAAGGAAAAGAGGCAAUAGAUUCUAAGAAGCAAAUGUGAUUUGGUAUGUUAACCUAUAUUGGCAUAUUGUAUUGGGCUACAUAGCUUAGCUGGGUCAAAGCUGAUGUGAUUGGUUCCAUCUUUUUCCUCUCCUUGCUUUUAGUCGUGGGGCUUGGGUUUUUGAGGAUGGGAAUGAAUGGGGCAAUCAAGAGUCCAAAACCCUUCUUUUGUCUUCUGGUUUUGGGGGUUGCACCAGGUGUUAUUUGCUUUUUUAGAAAAUACCCUGUGGGAGAAUUAUGGCUUCAUUCAAAAUGAUUGAUUAUUUGAAUGCAGUGAUACCUGCUUAGAAUCAUGCAUUUGUGGAAAGUCAUGUGUAUUGUUCUUUGCACGUUGCGGGUGCUGGAAGCACUCCACUUCAUUAUGCUGCUUGUGGUGGAAGUGUGCAGUGUUGUCAGAAGAAUAGCUUUGAGCAAUUCUGCAUAAGUUAUGCAAAUGAGAGGUUGCAACAACAUUUCAACCGGCAUUUGUUAAAACUGGAGCAGGAAGUGAGCAUCUCACAUGGACCGUGUCUUUAGUUUUGUUUAGUAUUUUAUAUGAUGGGGAUUGUCGCUAAAAGCAGGAUAUUCUUUUUUGAUUCAAAUCUGUCGUCAUUAUUUAUUGUGAAAGAUUAUUGUGCAAGAUUAUUUA